rnacentral:rRNA from 1 species
AGAGUUUGAUCAUGGCUCAGAAUCAACGCUGGCGGCGUGCCUAACACAUGCAAGUCGCACGAGAAAGGGGAGCAAUCCCUGAGUAAAGUGGCGCACGGGUGAGUAACACGUGAAUUAUCUACCUCCGAGUGGGGAAUAACCUAGAGAAAUCUGGGCUAAUACCGCAUAACACUUACGAGUCAAAGCAGCAAUGCGCUUGGAGAGGAGUUCGCGGCCGAUUAGCUAGUUGGCGGGGUAAUGGCCCACCAAGGCGAUGAUCGGUAUCCGGCCUGAGAGGGCGCACGGACACACUGGAACUGAAACACGGUCCAGACUCCUACGGGAGGCAGCAGUGGGGAAUUUUGCGCAAUGGGGGAAACCCUGACGCAGCAACGCCGCGUGGAGGAUGAAAUAUCUUGGUAUGUAAACUCCUUUCGAUGGGGAAGAUUAUGACGGUACCCAUAGAAGAAGCCCCGGCUAACUUCGUGCCAGCAGCCGCGGUAAUACGAGGGGGGCAAGCGUUGUUCGGAUUUAUUGGGCGUAAAGGGUGCGUAGGCGGUUUGGCAAGUCUUAUGUGAAAUCUUCGGGCUCAACCCGAAGCCUGCAUAAGAAACUGCCGGGCUUGAGUAUGGGAGAGGUGAGUGGAAUUUCCGGUGUAGCGGUGAAAUGCGUAGAUAUCGGAAGGAACACCUGUGGCGAAAGCGGCUCACUGGACCAUAACUGACGCUGAUGCACGAAAGCUAGGGGAGCAAACAGGAUUAGAUACCCUAGUAGUCC